rnacentral:rRNA from 1 species
UUAAUUGAAGAGUUUGAUCAUGGCUCAGAUUGAACGCUGGCGGCAGGCCUAACACAUGCAAGUCGAGCGGUAACAGAAAGUAGCUUGCUACUUUGCUGACGAGCGGCGGACGGGUGAGUAAUGCUUGGGAACAUGCCUUGAGGUGGGGGACAACAGUUGGAAACGACUGCUAAUACCGCAUAAUGUCUAGGGACCAAAGGGGGCUUCGGCUCUCGCCUUUAGAUUGGCCCAAGUGGGAUUAGCUAGUUGGUGAGGUAAUGGCUCACCAAGGCGACGAUCCCUAGCUGGUUUGAGAGGAUGAUCAGCCACACUGGGACUGAGACACGGCCCAGACUCCUACGGGAGGCAGCAGUGGGGAAUAUUGCACAAUGGGCGCAAGCCUGAUGCAGCCAUGCCGCGUGUGUGAAGAAGGCCUUCGGGUUGU